rnacentral:tRNA from 1 species
GAGAGUACAGCUCAGUGGUAGAGCGUGUGCUCAGCAUGCAUGAGGUCCUGGGUUCAAUCCCCAGUACCCCCA